CUACCGGGGUAUCUAAUCCUGUUUGCUCCCCACGCUUUCGCGCCUCAGCGUCAGUUACAGACCAAAAAGCCGCCUUCGCCACUGGUGUUCCUCCACAUCUCUACGCAUUUCACCGCUACACGUGGAAUUCCGCUUUUCUCUUCUGCACUCAAGUUCCCCAGUUUCCAAUGACCCUCCACGGUUGAGCCGUGGGCUUUCACAUCAGACUUAAGAAACCGCCUGCGCGCGCUUUACGCCCAAUAAUUCCGGAUAACGCUUGCCACCUACGUAUUACCGCGGCUGCUGGCAC
rnacentral:rRNA from 1 species